rnacentral:rRNA from 1 species
GGAUUCCCCUAGUAACUGCGAGUGAAGCGGAAAAGCUCAAAUUUGAAAUCUGGCAGUCUUUGAUUGUCCGAGUUGUAAUCUAGAGAAGUGUUACCCGCGUUGGACCGUGUAUAAGUCUCCUGGAAUGGAGCGUCAUAGAGGGUGAGAAUCCCGUCUUUGACACGGACUACCAAGGCUUUGUGGUGCGCUCUCAAAGAGUCGAGUUGUUUGGGAAUGCAGCUCAAAAUGGGUGGUAAAUGCCAUCUAAAGCUAAAUACAGGCGAGAGACCGAUAGCGAACAAGUACCGUGAGGGAAAGAUGAAAAGAACUUUGGAAAGAGAGUUAAACAGUACGUGAAAUUGCUGAAAGGGAAACGCUUGAAGUCAGUCGCGUUGGCUAGAAAUCAACCUUGCUUUUGCUGGGUGUACUUUCUAGUCGAUGGGUCAACAUCAGUUUUGACCAGUGGAUAAAGUCAAUGGGAAUGUGGCUCCCUUGGGAGUGUUAUAGCCCUUUGUCGCAUACAUUGGUUGGGACUGAGGCUCUCAGCACGCCUUUAUGGCCUGGUUUCGACCAAGUUCGUGCUUAGGAUGUUGGCAUAAUGGCUUUAAUCGACCCGUCUUGAAACACGGACCAAGGAGUCUAACAUGCUUGCGAGUAUUUGGGUGGAAAACCCUCAUGCGUAAUGAAAGUGAAAGUUGAGAUCCCUGUCGUGGGGAGCAUCGACGCCCGGACCAGACCUUUUGUGACGGAUCCRCGGUAGAGCAUGUAUGUUGGGACCCGAAAGAUGGUGAACUAUGCCUGAAUAGGGUGAAGCCAGAGGAAACUCUGGUGGAGGCUCGUAGCGAUUCUGACGUGCAAAUCGAUCGUCAAAUUUGGGUAUAGGGGCGAAAGACUAAUCGAACCAUCUAGUAGCUGGUUCC